GAGGCUGUAAACACUUUAUAUAAGAAAUUCCUGAUAACUUGACACUUUGUUCCUUUAAGUAAGUAGAUCAAAAUAAUGAAAUAAAAUUAGGGGUCACCGUCCAUUUAAGAGCUCCAUAGGUCACCGAAAAAAGAAGGUGAUUUUGCUAUUUUACAAAGGAAUAAUAGGGGAAAAUUGUGUGUUGACAUACUUACAUUUUAAUAACGGAUUCAAUUUAUAUAAGAUGUCGUUUAAAUUUGUUUUCCAACAAGCACAAGUAUAGUUUUACAUGUUAAGGUAAAAAACAAUAUAGGUCACCGUUGGUUUUAGAAAAAUAUUUCACAUUCUUUAUCCAAUUUUUCAUUUUUGGCGGGAAAAGACAAAGAGGGAAAAUAUCAUCUGCAUUACCUUCUUCUUAGAAAAUUUAAGAGAAUUAAAUUACAGAUUUCCAUGAAAAUAACUAUUCAAACAGAAUUGCAAGUGAAGUUCAGAAAAAAAAAAAAAAAAUUGGGGUGGGUCACAUUUUAGGAGCGAUAAAUCACUAAAAGUAUGAUACCAUGGCAACCGUUUUUUUUUAUAUAUAAUUUUUUUUCGUCCGUUUUCAGCCCGAAGUAUAUGCACUUAAAUCAUUAUGAUUUAUCAAGGUAUAAGAUCCUGUAGUGAAAUGCAGGUCAACAUUGGAUUUAAUGUUAUACAAUCAAAUCAUUAGGUCAAAGGUCAUAACAAUCAUAUUUUAAUUGUCAACCUAGGAUUGUAGGGAACGUUUUAGAUAAUUUUGGAAACAGAAUACCAAACGAUUAGAGUGAAAACUGAUUCACAUUUGCCAUUUAAGUCCCUUUUAUAUCUUGCUAAAUGGUAUAGGUUUUGCUCAUUUUUGAAGGCAGUACCAAUAGCUGUAAACUUCUUUGUGGUUUGGUCUCUGGUUUCAGUUGUCUGAUUGGCAAUCAUAUCAUUUCUCAU
rnacentral:lncRNA from 1 species